rnacentral:rRNA from 1 species
UACGUAGGUGGCAAGCGUUGUCCGGAAUUAUUGGGCGUAAAGCGCGCGCAGGCGGUCUUCCAAGUCAGUGGUGAAAGCCUGGAGCUCAACUCCAGAACUGCCAUUGAAACUGUUAGACUUGAGUACGAGAGAGGUGAGUGGAAUUCCCAGUGUAGAGGUGAAAUUCGUAGAUAUUGGGAAGAACACCAGUGGCGAAGGCGGCUCACUGGCUCGUAACUGACGCUCAGGCGCGACAGCGUGGGGAUCAAACAGG